rnacentral:rRNA from 1 species
AUUGAACGCUGGCGGCAGGCCUAACACAUGCAAGUCGAACGAGUGGCGGACGGGUGAGUAAUGUCUGGGAAACUGCCUGAUGGAGGGGGAUAACUACUGGAAACGGUAGCUAAUACCGCAUACCAUCAGAUGUGCCCAGAUGGGAUGAGAUUGUUGGUGGGGUAAUGGCUCACCUAGGCGACUAUCCCUAGCUGGUCUGAGAGGAUGACCAGCCACACUGGCACUGAGACACUGUCCAGACUCCUACGGUAGGCAGCAGUGGGGAAUAUUGCACAAUGGGCGCAAGCCUGAUGCAGCCAUGCCGCGUGUGUGAAGAAGGCCUUCGGUUUGUAAAGCACUUUCAGCGAGGAGGCGUUACCCGCAGAAGAAGCACCGGCUAACUCCGUGCCAGCAGCCGCGGUAAUUC